rnacentral:lncRNA from 1 species
CCGGAGAAGAGGCCAUUGUAGCGGAAGAGAGCAUAACGGAAGCCAUAUCUCCUUUUCUAUUUCUUCUUUACUAUGUGAGUUAGGUUUGGGUAUAAUGCUUUGGCCAUCUAUAUAUAAUGGUAUUAACACUGGAAACAAGCCGCAGAGUGAUAAGAGGGUUGAGAAUCCAAGAGAUUAGAGUAGAAUAGAAUUUAGACCAUUGAAAUUUUGAGUGGAUAUGGAUGAAGUUUGAUUGAAUUGUAACUGCCACAAAGGAUAAGAAAAUGUGGUGAUACCCCUAUCGGUUUGAACCACUAAAAUAGUGCCACGUGGAAGAUAAUUUCAUGAAUCUUAUCUAUAUCUAUAAAUGAAAUGAGUGAUGAUGGUGCUACUCAUUUUAUUUUCUGCUGGGUUUGGCCCAUUCUUUAAUGGGAAACAAAUAAUAUUAUUUAAGACUUUAUAUAUGUUCCGCAUUGAUCAUAUUCAAUUUUAGUUUAAAUGAUAUGGUAAGGCCCAAAUUAAAAAUUUGAUUGGGCCUUUAAAAAUGUGAAUAAAUUUUCAUGUCUAAAAUGAAAAUCUAAAAAUAUGUAAUGAGAAUAACUGAUGUGAAAGUUAAUAUACUAAAAUAUUGAUUUAUAAAUUUAGAGGAUUUCAAGUUAUAUUCAUUACAAAUUGUGUCUCUCUUUUUCAAUAUUCUCAUACUAAAUUUUACUUUGUUCCAAAUGGUGGAUAAUUUGUAUCAUUUAAUUCAAGAUGUGAAUCUAGGAGUCGAAUUUACUACUAGUCCUUUCUGUAGAAUAUUCCUACGGGUGUGACUGGUGACCAAGGGAAUAAGGAGAAACACUAUGUUCCUUAAUAUUUCUUAAACUUUUUACCAUUCAUAAGGAAUAUGUUUUCUUUUUCAUUCCUCUUCAUUCUUUUGUUUGUAGAGAAUUAUAGAACAAAUCAAUUCCUCGUUAAUUUUGAUAAGGAACCAUCAUUCCUCAUCAUUCCUAAAAUUUUAUUCCUACUCAUUCUUUUCCUAUCUGUUCAUGUUGUUCUUAUGAUGGUUAGUAGUCGCACUCGUAAUGAAUCAGUACGGGUGAAUCAAUAUUUAAUAUCCUUGAUUCAAAGAAAACAAAACCUCAUGGUGAUAAUAACAUGUUUGCCACUGAUCUGGGGCUUAAUGGGUAAUAUCACUGGGUGGAUAAUUGAAAAGUAAAACACCACAAAACCGCUGUACCAUAUGUAAUGGCGCCUAAAAAAGCUGCAUGCUAUGCUUUAGGCAAUGGCUUAACCUGACAGUUAUAUCCUCUACUAUUUGAAAAAAUAAUAAGAUAGCUUGGGUGGACUUUUUUCAUGAUACCAUUUGGAUCUUUUUGACCCAAAAAUUUUGGUUUUGUUUGGUCAAUUUCCACCUUGUCUAAUCAACAAAAGUAACACAUAAAACAAAAUGUAUUCGACGUAUUAUGUUGCGAUUAUUUUAAAGCAAAUAAAAUAUAAUUUUUUUUAGAUAAGAUAGUAGAAAAAAUAGUUAUAUUUUUGUAUAUGGAGAUUUCUCAUAUGUAUUAUUUUCUUAUAAGAUAUUUUAUUUAAAUAAUUUUUAUUUAAAUAAAAGACAAUUUUUUUUGACGUCAAAUGGCCAUAAAAAAAAAGAAAAGACAAUUUGAAUUUUUCUUACAAAUAAGAUAUACUCAGAUCUAUCAAAAUAACAUAAAAAGUUACAAAUUCACUUGACAUAGUUCCAAGAUAAUAAUUUUUUAUAAAUUAUUUAAUUGGAAAACUUUUAAACAAGAAUGGCUAAAUUAUGUAUAUGAUCCACACUGCACAAAAUAAUUGAAUAUACUAUGGUUAAAUGGAAAAAAAAUGAAUAUCCAAGACUCUUAUCUUCAAAUCUUAUCCUAAAGAAUUCACGUCCACUUAUGCUUCCAUCAAAGAUUUUCAGUGGGGCCAUCGUUUACUUUAAGAUAUAGUUUGAAAAAUGUUUCUACCUUUCAACCAUGUGAUAAAAGUGUUACUGUGAAUCUAUUUUUCUAAUAAUUAGUUCAUUUUAAUAACAUCACUUCUUUUAUUUUUGCCUAACUUCAGUAAAGACAGUCCAAAGUUUAAAUUCACUUAGUUUUAAUAUACCUCAACUUUGUAAAAUUCAUGUUUCGAUCCAUUGUCUUAAUUUUUUUAAUGCAAAAUUCAAAAUAAUAUAUUUUUAUAACAUUACAUAUUUAUUUUUUAGGACAUUUGAGGACCCAAAAGAAAAUAUCUUGCAACCCGGAAAACAAAGAUUAAAUCCGGAAAUUACAACAAAAGAUAAAAUAUAUAAAAAGAUGAUAAAUCAAAGGCAGGGAAGGAUAAAGUUUUGUUGUUUACACAAAGCAAUGAAGCUGUGUAAUUAAGCAUUAGUGAAGCUUGGUGGCUUGUAGGCGAUGAAACUGAUGCACUGGGCUUGACGAUUGUUGUCGAAUCCGAUGAUCCUAAUGAAGGCGUUGGGGUACUCCUUUUUGCAUUCUUGUACUUCCUUCAACACCUGAGCUGAGUCAGUGCAUCCGAACAAAGGAAGCUUCCACAUUGUCCAGUAUCGUCCAUCAUAGUAUCCAGGGAUGUUUCCAUGCUCACGGUAUACAAAACCGUGCUACGAAAAAAAUUAUACAAACCAUAAAUCGAUAUUCCUUAUUUUCAUUUACUACAACACAAAUAUGCAUAAGAUCUCUAAGUGUUUUACAAGAUCCGUAUGGUGAUCAUCUACAACUUAGUAUCAUUUACAAGAUCUCUUUAUUAUAAAUAUUUGUAAAUGUUCAUUUUUCAGUUUUUCUUACCUCCAACUCGAAUUCAAUACAUGGAGUCCACUUGUUGCGGAUAAGGUAGUCAACUUCCUUGGCUAUUUCGACAUCGGUAAGGUCAGGAAGGUAAGAGAGAGUCUCAAACUUCUUCUUGCCAACUGGAGGCCACACCUGUUUAUUACCAAUCAACAAAAGAAAUAUUAGUUUUGAAUAAUUGAGAAUUAAAAACCAUCAAUUUAUUUUGGGUAUAAGAAAUAUGUAUGACCUUCAUGCAGUUAACUCUUCCGCCGUUGCUUGUGAUGGAAGUAACUUUGGUGUUCGCCUUACAUGUCACUGGGAAAGCAGCAGAGGACUUAAGUCCGAUGAAUGGUGCGACCAUUGUGGCAUGAGCCGGAGAAGAGGCCAUUGUAGCGGAAGAGAGCAUAACGGAAGCCAUAUCUCCUUUUCUAUUUCUUCUUUACUAUGUGAGUUAGGUUUGGGUAUAAUGCUUUGGCCAUCUAUAUAUAAUGGUGUUAACACUAGAAACAAGCCGCAGAGUGAUAAGAGGGUUGAGAAUCCAAGAGAUUAGAGUAGAAUAGAAUUUAGACCAUUGAAAUUUUG